rnacentral:lncRNA from 12 species
GCAUAAUAUAAAUUAAAUGAUACAUUUUGAAUACUUUUUGUCUUUAAAACCAAUUGACUGCUUUGGCUAUUUUUUUUAAGUGCAUUAAAGCUGAAGAAGCUUAACUCAGCAUCAUCAAAUUAGGUAAUAUUAGGCAUUUUGGGCAAAUCAUUUCCAUAUUAAAUUCUAGAUGGCAAAUAUACAUAUUCUGUUUUGGAUUCUGGUUCCUGCUGGUGUGCUGAUUUUUGUAUUUUUUUUUUUAAAUCAGAGUUUACACAAACUUGAUGAACCGAACCUAAAAGUCUUCAGCUCUCUUUUAUCAAAGAAUGCUGGACUGUACUAUUUGUUUAUUAAUGUUUUCAUUUAAUAGGACAUGAACUUACAAUUAAGGUCCGAUUUUUGCAGGACUAACUUUCUCUCACAUUCAGCCUGUGGUAGAGAGUUACAGCAUCCUCGCUUGAAUUUAACCCAAAAACCUUUACUUACAGAAGGAAAUAUUGGCUCUGUAUCCUUGUUGUUGAUCUGAUGUUUACUCUAUACUUUAUUAUUUUAAACUAGAACUGUGGUCAUCAGUCAUCCAGUAAUAUGUACUUCCCUGUGCACGUCAUGUUUUAACUGGGGCAGGACAAUUAUUACCCCAGAAUACAAAGCUGCUUUUUAUUUCUUUUAUCGUAAUACCUGGAUUGGCCAAAAGAGGGCCAUCAGCCAAUUUAACUUUGAGCCAGCCAAAGGGCAAUGUACAGAUUCGACUGACAGCAAGACAUAAGGUUUUAUUCCUCUCUUUGAUCAGCAAAGCGCAUAACAACAUGUACAAUUCGCGCGGUCUCCUUUUCCUUUCAUUUGGAUUUACCUUGCUGGAGUUCAUCACCUGUGACAGCGAUGGAUCUUUAUUGGCGGGUGAAUGUCAAAGAAUGGAUAUCAAACAUGGUAAUAGACCAGCACAAAACGGUGAAGCCCCCUUCAAGAUCGAACCAGAAUAUAAAGAAGUGACAGAUUCUGAACUGGGAAAGAACAUUAUUGUCUCGCUUAGGGCUUCGGUUCAAUUUAAAGGUUUCAUGUUGGACGCUCGUAAGUGUGAUGAGUGUGCGUCUGCUGGCAGGUUUAAUUUAAUCCAGACUGAACCGAACAACAGCAUACUCAUCUGUGAUGACCGUGUUGUGGCUCAAAGUAAUAACCAAAGAAAAACGAUAGUUAAUGUGUUGUGGAUCCCCGAAGAGACUGGAGUGUUUUUCUUCAGAGCUGCUUUCGUUGAAGAUUUCAGUAUUUUUUGGCUAAGGAAGCCGAUCAUACUCACGACGACUGCAUCACCCACCACUGAAUCCACCAGUCACAGUACACAAACAAGUCCAACAGAUAUGUCACAGACACAGGCUGCAUCACCGACCUCUGAAGCCACAAGUACACAAAUAAAAACAACUACAAGCCCAACAAUAUUUACAACAGCAUCAAAUAUAGACUCAUAUGCUACAGUUGGACUAGCAUCGCCGCCUCAGUGUCUACAAUAUAUGGCCACCAUGAUUGCGUCUGUCUUUGAACCAGCCUCCAAAACUAUUGCUGUCAUCUUCGUACUAAUAAAACUAAUUAAAUAUGAGUGUGCGUGUGAGUGUGAUAGUUUGCAGAUUGUGUUUAGUGCUUUGACAGUGGCUGCCAUGGUUUCAAGCCUGCUGCACACUCUCACCGUUUUCCUUUACUGUGGACCAAGCCAUGAAUUAAGGAAGUGUUGGCUCUGUGCCAUUAUAAUUGUUGGCCUAAUGAAUACUAUCAUUACAACAACUGCAAUAUUCUUUGAAAUAUGGUGCUUUCAAGAGCGCUGGCUGCCAUUAUUAAUGGGAGUUUUUGUUGUUUGGGAGUUCAUGCUUUAUCUUGGCUCAGUUUGCUGUGAACAGAUGGAAAAAUACAGGUCAAGAAGUAAGUAUUCUUGGUACCAACCAACUCAAGGCACUAGUGAGAUUAACACACAAACCUCAUAA